GUGUUACAUGAAAGGAGAGAAGGUUAGCACUUCCCUUGACAAGGACGGCAUGUCAACGACAACGUGAAUGAAGAUAUUUU